GUUAGUGGAAGCGUCUGGAAAGUCGCACGGUACAGGGUGAAAGUCCCGUACACGAAAACGCACAGGCUGUGAGCUCGAUGAGUAGGGCGGGACACGUGGUAUCCUGUCUGAAUAUGGGGGGACCAUCCUCCAAGGCUAAAUACUCCUGACUGACCGAUAGUGAACCAGUACCGUGAGGGAAAGGCGAAAAGAACCCCGGCGAGGGGAGUGAAAAAGAACCUGAAACCGUGUACGUACAAGCAGUGGGAGCCUCUUUUAUGGGGUGACUGCGUACCUUUUGUAUAAUGGGUCAGCGACUUAUAUUCUGUAGCAAGGUUAACCGUAUAGGGGAGCCGMAGGGAAACCGAGUCUUAACUGGGCGUUAAGUUGCAGGGUAUAGACCCGAAACCCGGUGAUCUAGCCAUGGGCAGGUUGAAGGUUGGGUAACACUAACUGGAGGACCGAACCGACUAAUGUUGAAAAAUUAGCGGAUGACCUGUGGCUGGGGGUGAAAGGCCAAUCAAACCGGGAGAUAGCUGGUUCUCCCCGAAAGCUAUUUAGGUAGCGCCUCGUGAAUUCAUCUCCGGGGGUAGAGCACUGUUUCGGCYAGGGGGCCAUCCCGGCUUACCAACCCGAUGCAAACUGCGAAUACCGGAGAAUGUUAUCACGGGAGACACACGGCGGGUGCUAACGUCCGUCGUGAAGAGGGAAACAACCCAGACCGCCAGCUAAGGUCCCAAAGUCAUGGUUAAGUGGGAAACGAUGUGGGAAGGCCCAGACAGCCAGGAUGUUGGCUUAGAAGCAGCCAUCAUUUAAAGAAAGCGUAAUAGCUCACUGGUCGAGUCGGCCUGCGCGGAAGAUGUAACGGGGCUAAACCAUGCACCGAAGCUGCGGCAGCGAACGUAUCACUUAAAWCGAUUUACAGGCUUAACGAUUGACGGAGCGGAGCGACGUCAAAGCGUUUUACAAAGUCGAGUCGGUUUAAGGAUACGUUCGUUGGGUAGGGGAGCGUUCUGUAAGCCGUWGAAGGUGKSCUGUGAGGSWUGCUGGAGGUAUCAGAAGUGCGAAUGCUGACAUAAGUAACGAUAAAGCGGGUGAAAAGCCCGCUCGCCGGAAGACCAAGGGUUCCUGUCCAACGUUAAUCGGGGCAGGGUGAGUCGACCCCUAAGGCGAGGCCGAAAGGCGUAGUCGAUGGGAAACAGGUUAAUAUUCCUGUACUGUGUGUCACUGCGAAGGGGGGACGGAGAAGGCUAUGUUGGCCGGGCGACGGUUGUCCCGGUUUAAGCGUGCAGGUGUGUGGACCAGGCAAAUCCGGUUCACUUUAACACUGAGGCGUGAUGACGAGGCACUACGGUGCUGAAGCAAUAAAUGCCCUGCUUCCAGGAAAAGCCUCUAAGCAUCAGGUGACACGUAAUCGUACCCCAAACCGACACAGGUGGUCAGGUAGAGAAUACCAAGGCGCUUGAGAGAACCCGGGUGAAGGAACUAGGCAAAAUGGUGCCGUAACUUCGGGAGAAGGCACGCUGAUAUGUAGGUGAAGUGAUUUACUCAUGGAGCUGAAAUCAGUCGAAGAUACCAGCUGGCUGCAACUGUUUAUUAAAAACACAGCACUGUGCAAACACGAAAGUGGACGUAUACGGUGUGACGCCUGCCCGGUGCCGGAAGGUUAAUUGAUGGGGUUAUCCUCGCGGAGAAGCUCUUGAUCGAAGCCCCGGUAAACGGCGGCCGUAACUAUAACGGUCCUAAGGUAGCGAAAUUCCUUGUCGGGUAAGUUCCGACCUGCACGAAUGGCGUAAUGAUGGCCAGGCUGUCUCCACCCGGGACUCAGUGAAAUUGAACUCGCUGUGAAGAUGCAGUGUACCCGCGGCAAGACGGAAAGACCCCGUGAACCUUUACUAUAGCUUGACACUGAACACUGGUCCUUGAUGUGCAGGAUAGGUGGGAGGCUUUGAAGUGUGGACGCCAGUCUGCACGGAGCCGUCCUUGAAAUACCACCCUUUAAUGGCUGGUGUUCUAACGUGGGCCCGURAUCCGGGUUGCGGACAGUGUCUGGUGGGUAGUUUGACUGGGGCGGUCUCCUCCUAAAGAGUAACGGAGGAGCACGAAGGUUGGCUAAUCCUGGUCGGACAUCAGGAGGUUAGUGCAAUGGCAUAAGCCAGCUUGACUGCGAGCGUGACGGCGCGAGCAGGUGCGAAAGCAGGUCAUAGUGAUCCGGUGGUUCUGAAUGGAAGGGCCAUCGCUCAACGGAUAAAAGGUACUCCGGGGAUAACAGGCUGAUACCGCCCAAGAGUUCAUAUCGACGGCGGUGUUUGGCACCUCGAUGUCGGCUCAUCACAUCCUGGGGCUGAAGUAGGUCCCAAGGGUAUGGCUGUUCGCCAUUUAAAGUGGUACGCGAGCUGGGUUUAGAACGUCGUGAGACAGUUCGGUCCCUAUCUGCCGUGGGCGCUGGAGAACUGAGGGGGGCUGCUCCUAGUACGAGAGGACCGGAGUGGACGCAUCACUGGUGUUCGGGUUGUCAUGCCAAUGGCACUGCCCGGUAGCUAAAUGCGGAAGAGAUAAGUGCUGAAAGCAUCUAAGCACGAAACUUGCCCCGAGAUGAGUUCUCCCUGACUCCUUGAGAGUCCUGAAGGAACGUUGAAGACGACGACGUUGAUAGGCCGGGUGUGUAAGCGCAGCGAUGCGUUGAGCUAACCGGUACUAAUGAACCGUGAGGCUUAACCUUACAACGCCGAAG
rnacentral:rRNA from 1 species